AUUCCUGUGUCUUCGGUAUUCCCCAUCUUAGAAGUUUAUUUGGCAUAUAUACUACUUUGUUCAUUUCUCUUGCAUUUUUCUUAUCAAACACCCAUGCUUUCAGUUUCCCAUCCCAUUCCUCAAAUUGUUUUUUAGCAAUCUUCAUAGGUAAUGUUCUAAAUAAAUUCAGAAAGGAACUUUG